rnacentral:rRNA from 1 species
CUCGUAGGCGGCCAACUAAGUCAGACGUGAAAUCCCUCGGCUUAACCGGGGAACUGCGUCUGAUACUGGAUGGCUUGAGUUCGGGAGAGGGAUGCGGAAUUCCAGGUGUAGCGGUGAAAUGCGUAGAUAUCUGGAGGAACACCGGUGGCGAAGGCGGCAUCCUGGACCGACACUGACGCUGAGGAGCGAAAGCCAGGGGAGCAAACGGGAUUAGAUACCCCGGUAGUCCUGGCCCUAAACGAUGAAUGCUUGGUGUGGCGGGUAUCGAUCCCUGCCGUGCCGAAGCUGACGCAUUAAGCAUUCCGCCUGGGGAGUACGGUCGCAAGGCUGAA